CAAAGACCUUGGAAAAUCUCCCUGCCUCCAGCAGCUCAUCCUUCCCUCUCUAACAUACUUACUCCUUGCAGGCUGUCCCAGCUCCUCAUAGCCAUCUGCCACCACUGGCAGGUGAGGAGCGAGGAAGAGGAGCCAAGCGGGGACAGGAGAAGAAGGUCACAGUGGGGGCGGCGGGGAAGAUGGCUGUGCUCUUCACAGAAUCACAGAAUUUUAAAGGUUGCAAGGGACCUCUGGAGAUCAUUUAGUCCAAGACUCCUGCUAACGAAGGUUCCUUAGAACAGAUUGCAGAGGAAAGCCUCCAGGAAUGGAGCAGAAUGAUGCAUUUGUUCUCAAGGGACAUGUCCAUUUUCUAUG
ensembl:lncRNA